rnacentral:rRNA from 1 species
UUGGAGGGCAAGUCUGGUGCCAGCAGCCGCGGUAAUUCCAGCUCCAAUAGCGUAUAUUAAAGUUGUUGCAGUUAAAAAGCUCGUAGUUGAAUUUCGGGGUUAGUAGGUUGUCAUGCCUCUGGUAUGUACUGGUCUCACUGAUUCCUCCUUCCUGAUGAGCCGUAAUGCCAUUAAUUUGGUGUUGCGGGGAAUUUGGACUGUUACUUUGAAAAAAUUAGAGUGUUUAAAGCAAGCUAACGCUUGAAUACAUUAGCAUGGAAUAAUGAAAUAGGACGUUCGAUCCUAUUUUGUUGGUUUCUAGGAUUGACGUAAUGAUUAAUAGGGAUAGUUGGGGGCAUUAGUAUUCGAUUGUCAGAGGUGAAAUUCUUGGAUUUAUUGAAGACUAACUACUGCGAAAGCAUUUGCCAAGGAUGUUUUCAUUAAUCAAGAACGAAAGUUAGGGGAUCGAAGACGAUCAGAUACCGUCGUAGUCUUAACCAUAAACUAUGCCGACUAGGGAUCGGAUGAUGUUAAUUUUUUAAUGACUCAUUCGGCGCCUUACGGGAAACCAAAGUGUUUGGGUUC